UCCACUGUAUGAUGUUUACACUCAACAGUUUGUUCCUGCUGGUUCAUUCAAAGGAUAGUGCAAAAGAAAUGUAGUAUCUGGCAUUGGUGGUUUUCUUGGCUUUGUGUGUGUUAUACCUGGUAUUUCUAUUGAUACACUA
ensembl:snoRNA